rnacentral:ncRNA from 2 species
GUAAAAAUAGGUGAUGGAGUUCACCUUUAAGUGCUGAAAUGCUGAUGACUCCUACAGAUUU